rnacentral:rRNA from 1 species
UACGAAGGGGGCUAGCGUUGCUCGGAUUGACUGGGCGUAAAGGGCGCGUAGGCGGUUCGUACAGUCAGACGUGAAAUUCCUGGGCUCAACCUGGGGGCUGCGUUUGAUACGUGCGGACUUGAGUGCGGAAGAGGGUCGUGGAAUUCCCAGUGUAGAGGUGAAAUUCGUAGAUAUGGGGAGGAACACCGGUGGCGAAGGCGGCCACCUGGACGGUAACUGACGCUGAGACGCGAAAGCGUGGGGAGCAAACAGG